UGCAAGUCGAGGGGUAACAGGGAUUAGUUUACUAAUUUGCUGACGACCGGCGCACGGGUGAGUAACGCGUAUACAAUUUACCUUUUACAGGAGGAUAGCCCAGAGAAAUUUGGAUUAAUACUCCAUGGUAUUAUCGGAUCGCAUGGUUUGAUAAUUAAAGUUUCGGUGGUAAAAGAUGAGUAUGCGUCCUAUUAGCUGGUUGGUAAGGUAACGGCUUACCAAGGCGACGAUAGGUAGGGGUCCUGAGAGGGAGAUCCCCCACACUGGUACUGAGACACGGACCAGACUCCUACGGGAGGCAGCAGUGAGGAAUAUUGGUCAAUGGAGGCAACUCUGAACCAGCCAUGCCGCGUGCAGGAAGACUGCCCUAUGGGUUGUAAACUGCUUUUAUACAGGAAGAAACUUAUCCACGUGUGGAUAACUGACGGUACUGUACGAAUAAGGACCGGCUAACUCCGUGCCAGCAGCCGCGGUAUA
rnacentral:rRNA from 1 species